UGGGGAAUUUUGCGCAAUGGGCGAAAGCCUGACGCAGCAACGCCGCGUGCGGGAUGAAGGCCUUCGGGUUGUAAACCGCUUUCAGCAGGGAUGAAACUGACAGUACCUGCAGAAGAAGCCCCGGCUAACUACGUGCCAGCAGCCGCGGUAAUACGUAGGGGGCAAGCGUUAUCCGGAUUCAUUGGGCGUAAAGAGCGCGUAGGCGGCUUGUUAAGCGAGAUGUGAAAACCGGGGGCUUAACCCGCGGCCUGCAUCUCGAACUGGCAGGCUUGAGUCUGGUAGAGGAGUGUGGAAUUCCCAGUGUAGCGGUGAAAUGCGCAGAUAUUGGGAGGAACACCAGUGGCGAAGGCGGCACUCUGGGCCACGACUGACGCUGAGGCGCGAAAGCUAGGGGA
rnacentral:rRNA from 1 species